UACGGAGGGUGCAAGCGUUAUCCGGAUUUACUGGGUUUAACGGGUGUGUAGGCGGACUUUUAAGUCAGGGGUGAAAUCCCGAGGCUCAACCUCGGAACUGCCUUUGAUACUAUUGGUCUUGAAUGUUGUUGAGGUGGGCGGAACGGGUCAUGUAGCGGUGAAAUGCAUAGAUAUGACCCGGAACACCGAUUGCGAAGGCAGCCCGCUAAGCAACGAUUGACGCUGAGGCACGAAAGCGUGGGGAUCAAACAGG
rnacentral:rRNA from 1 species